ACCGCAAGGAGCGCCCUAGGGUAAAACCGGUAAUUGGGGCUAAGUCGUAACAAGGUAGCCGUACCGGAAGGUGCGGCUGGAACACCUCCUUUCUGGAGC
rnacentral:rRNA from 1 species